UACGUAGGGUGCAAGCGUUGUCCGGAAUUAUUGGGCGUAAAGAGCUCGUAGGCGGUCUGUCGCGUCUGCUGUGAAAACUCGGGGCUUAACCCCGGGCCUGCAGUGGGUACGGGCAGACUAGAGUGCGGUAGGGGAGACUGGAAUUCCUGGUGUAGCGGUGAAAUGCGCAGAUAUCAGGAGGAACACCGGUGGCGAAGGCGGGUCUCUGGGCCGAUACUGACGCUGAGGAGCGAAAGCAUGGGGAGCGAACAGG
rnacentral:rRNA from 1 species